UUGCCUGCAAUGAAAACGAAUUUUUAAAUCAAUAGAAUGAACAUACGUCAACUCAAUGUCGCAAAUUAAUAUACAAUUUUAAUGUGGUACAUGCAUUUUACAAUCUCGUGGGCAACGGUAAUUACUUUAGAAUUCAUUUAAGGCCCUUAAUUACUAGGAUAACUCCACUAACCAUAUCGUAAAAACAUAUUUAAACAAUUUUCCAGACCAUUGGAUUCACACAAUUGAUAAACAGCACCUUUGUAUAUAUUGAGAAAUAAUAAACAUAAACACUUAUUCCAUAAUAGAAGAUAAUUCGAACAGUACAACACUAUUAUUUGGCCGCAUUUAACCUGUGGGGUUAAAAGCUAAAUUAGGCAAUGAUAAGACCUCGCAGACAAGGUCCAGCUGCUGGAUUCCAUAUUUAGAUUACCCCAGGUCAGAAGGUGUUAUUGGAUUUCAGCUCUUUGGCCCAGUGAACUGCCCAGGUUGAUACUGUUGCUCUCAAAGCCAAAACAAAACUGCUGAGACAUGAAGUAUGCCAUAAUAAUAAUAAAAAUAAUAAUGGAAACAGCUGUACUAUCUUACCGACACACUUGUACAAUCUUUAUCUGUAUUGUUUAGUAUGCAACACAACAACAAAUGCUAAGAUACUUCAUAGAAGGCACUUCUAUUUGCUUUUCUACGCUAUUUAUGAUAUGAUCAACACUUGGAUACCCUUUCAUACUCUAUGUAAUGUUAUUUAUAUUUAAGCAACUUGUUUUAUUUAUUAAAUCUUCAGCUAUAUUCAAUGCAAAUUCCUUCAAAAUUAUAUAGCUUUGCUUUCGAAUUUAUUAUUUAUUAUCUUGGAUGGAUAGAAAGGAUUAUCCUCCCACAAACGAAUCUAAUUUGGAAGCCAAAAUCAAUAUUUACUUGUGCUAUUUAUAAUUGUCUGAAUUGCCAUUCAACUACUAAUCGAUAAAAAGAAAAAAACAAGCAAUUUAAAAUUUUUAAAAAGCAAAAGUACUUGGCAAGCAGCACUGGCGCCAUCUAGCAAUAGGAAGCUGCAAACGCGUUGUUUACAAUUCUCAUUAUAUUUUGUUCUUUAAUGUAGAUAAAAUUGUAGAUUAAAAUCAUAUCGAGGAAACUCUAAAUCUUGGGAAAAUACCUGAGAAAUAAAAGCUUCAAGUAAAAACAAACAAAUAGCAAUCGCGAAUAAUCGUGUUUGAAUAAAUUUACAUAUUGAAUUUAAGUGCUCUGAACAUUAAAUGCUAACUUGGCAUUAUUUACAAUACUCGCAUUUGUUGUUAAACUUGUUCAAUUGCAGGUGCCUGAAAUUCCCGGCAGCAUUCUAAACAGUUGAAAAGUUGAAAAGGUUUUUCCGGAAAAAAACAAAUGCAUUUAUGUUUAAUAUAAAUCAAAUAGAGGUUCAACUUGAGUGGUAUUAAUUACUCAAUCAGUAUGCAGUUUAAUAGCUGCUAAAAUAUGUACAAAAUGAGCGUGGGUAUUCAGUAGCUGUUAAGGUUAUUAUUUAGUUACCUUUUAUGGGUGUAAUAACCUUAGAAUGAGGACACACUAAGCAAAAACUGAAGCGAUUUACUCUUCUUUUAGUGCUUCCCGGACACUGCUUCAACUGCACCGCCCACAACAACUUGAAGUAAACAGUCUAGCGCAGCCCAAAAGCAGAACUGAUAAGUGCAGACAGAGGCGGCACAUAUAUACAUAUGUAUGUAUAUAUAUAUAAAAGUCGGCUUUAUCAGUGCCCGGUUCGCAGUGGAGCUGAAACUUUGCACUCAUCAUAUAGUAAUGCGAUUAUGCAGCCUGGGGACCAAAGACCAAGAAGCGACCUAUUUGGUAGCUGGUCUAGACUUGCAUAAUUAUGCAAUGGCUGAACUACGACUAAGUUGAAACACUAUAACUCAAUAUCCAUACGGAGUCAGCAGCGGAUCAAGUGGAACAAUAGAUGGAAGACAAAAGCGGCAAAGAGAGAAAAAGGAGUCAAUAUCCAUAAAUAAAUGUUGGGAAAAUCAAUGAAAUUAACGUUUAA